rnacentral:rRNA from 1 species
UACGAAGGGGGCUAGCGUUGCUCGGAAUUACUGGGCGUAAAGGGCGCGUAGGCGGAUAGUUUAGUCAGAGGUGAAAGCCCAGGGCUCAACCUUGGAACUGCCUUUGAUACUGGCUAUCUUGAGUUCGGGGGAGGUGAGUGGAAUGCCGAGUGUAGAGGUGAAAUUCGUAGAUACUCGGCGGAACACCAGUGGCGAAGGCGACUCACUGGCCCGAUACUGACGCUGAGGCGCGAAAGCGUGGGGAGCAAACAGG